rnacentral:rRNA from 1 species
UACGGGAGGCAGCAGUGGGGAAUAUUGCACAAUGGGCGGAAGCCUGAUGCAGCGACGCCGCGUGGGGGAUGAAGGCCUUCGGGUUGUAAACUCCUUUCGACAGGGACGAAGCUUUUGUGACGGUACCUGUAUAAGAAGCACCGGCUAACUACGUGCCAGCAGCCGCGGUAAUACGUAGGGUGCGAGCGUUGUCCGGAAUUACUGGGCGUAAAGAGCUCGUAGGUGGUUUGUCGCGUCGUCUGUGAAAUUCCGGGGCUUAACUCCGGGCGUGCAGGCGAUACGGGCUGACUUGAGUGCUGUAGGGGAGACUGGAAUUCCUGGUGUAGCGGUGAAAUGCGCAGAUAUCAGGAGGAACACCGAUGGCGAAGGCAGGUCUCUGGGCAGUAACUGACGCUGAGGAGCGAAAGCAUGGGUAGCGAACAGGAUUAGAUACCCUGGUAGUCCAUGCCGUAAACGGUGGGCGCUAGGUGUAGGGGGCUUCCACGUCUUCUGUGCCGUAGCUAACGCAUUAAGCGCCCCGCCUGGGGAGUACGGCCGCAAGGCUAAAACUCAAAGGAAUUGACGGA